UACGGAGGGUGCAAGCGUUAUCCGGAUUCACUGGGUUUAAAGGGUGCGUAGGUGGGUUGGUAAGUCAGUGGUGAAAUCUCCAAGCUUAACUUGGAACUGCCGUUGAUACUAUCAAUCUUGAAUCUCGUGGAGGUAAGCGGAAUAUGUCAUGUAGCGGUGAAAUGCUUAGAUAUGACAUAGAACACCGAUAGCGAAGGCAGCUUGCUACACGAGUAUUGACACUGAGGCACGAAAAGCGUGGGGGAUCAAACAGG
rnacentral:rRNA from 1 species